CUUUACUAUAGCGUGUCAUUGAAAUACUGUGAGUACUGUUUAGUAUAGGUGGGAGACUUUGAAACUCUGGCGCUAGCCGGAGUGGAGUCGAAAUGUGAAAUACCACCCUGUAAUUAUAGUGUUUCUAACCAAAGCGUAACCUACUUUGGGACAGUGGCUCGUGGGUAGUUUAACUGGGGCGGUUGCCUCCUAAAUGGUAACGGAGGCGUCUAUUAAGGUAUGCUAAGCGCGGAUGGAAAUCGCGCUGAUAGUGCAAACGCAUAAGCAUGCUUGACUGCAAGGCUGGCGAGCCGCGCAGGUACGAAAGUAGAAGUUAGUGAUCCGAUGCGUUCGAGUGGAAGACGCAAAGCCCAACGGAUAAAAGUUA
rnacentral:rRNA from 1 species